CCAAAGGCUCUUUUCAGAGCCACCAACAAACUCGGAAAAAGAGCCU
rfam:Pygoscelis adeliae contig20305, whole genome shotgun sequence.